rnacentral:rRNA from 1 species
CCUACGGGAGGCAGCAGUGAGGAAUAUUGCGCAAUGGGCGAAAGCCUGACGCAGCGACGCCGCGUGAGGGAAGAAGGCCUUCGGGUCGUAAACCUCUGUCUAGAGGGAAGAAACCAUUGAGGUCGAACAGGCCUCUUUGCUGACGGUACCUCUGAAGGAAGCACCGGCUAACUCCGUGCCAGCAGCCGCGGUAAUACGGAGGGUGCGAGCGUUAAUCGGAAUCACUGGGCGUAAAGCGCACGUAGGCGGUGUCGUAAGUCGGAUGUGAAAGCCCUCGGCUCAACCGGGGAACUGCAUUCGAUACUGCGAUGCUUGAGUGCCGGAGAGGGUGGCGGAAUUCCAGGUGUAGGAGUGAAAUCCGUAGAUAUCUGGAGGAACACCAGUGGCGAAGGCGGCCACCUGGCCGGCAACUGACGCUGAGGUGCGAAAGCGUGGGGAUCAAACAGGAUUAGAUACCCUGGUAGUCCACGCUGUAAACGAUGGAUGCUAGGUGUCGGGAGUUUACUCUCGGUGCCGCAGUUAACGCGUUAAGCAUCCCGCCUGGGGAGUACGGUCGCAAGGCUGAAACUCAAAUGAAUUUACGG